GUGACCUCAAAUCAGGUAGGACUACCCGCUGAACUUAAGCAUAUCAAUAAGCGGAGGAAAAGAAACUAACAAGGAUUCCCCUAGUAACUGCGAGUGAAGCGGGAAAAGCUCAAAUUUAAAAUCUGGCAGUUUUUGGCUGUCCGAGUUGUAAUCUAGAGAAGCAUUAUCCGCGCUGGACCGUGUACAAGUCUCCUGGAAUGGAGCGUCAUAGAGGGUGAGAAUCCCGUCUUUGACACGGACUGCCAGGGCUUUUGUGAUGUGCUCUCAAAGAGUCGAGUUGUUUGGGAAUGCAGCUCAAAAUGGGUGGUAAAUUCCAUCUAAAGCUAAAUAUUGGCGAGAGACCGAUAGCGAACAAGUACCGUGAGGGAAAGAUGAAAAGAACUUUGGAAAGAGAGUUAAACAGUACGUGAAAUUGCUGAAAGGGAAACGCUUGAAGUCAGUCGCGUUGUCCAGGGAUCAACUCUUGCUUUUGCUUGGUGUACUUUCUGGUUAACGGGUCAGCAUCAAUUUUGACUAUUGGAAAAAGAUCAAGGGAAUGUGGCAUCUUUGGAUGUGUUA
rnacentral:rRNA from 2 species